rnacentral:misc_RNA from 1 species
CUAAAUAAUUCCUUGCAAUGAACUCUGGGAUAGACCUUGCUGCUAGCGCGCCAUAUGCAUUUUGAAUGAAAGGGUGAUAAACAUGGCAGAGAACGUCAAAAAUAUUAUUGAAUUUUUGCGCCUCGUUGGUCAAUUAAAACGAGUGAAACGGACAGGAUGGGUAAUGUGCAAGGUGGAACAGCCGGAGAGUGUGUCUGAUCACAUGUAUCGCAUGGCAGUUCUCGCCAUGCUCAUUCCAGAGGGUAAAGGCCUGCGUAGGGAUCAUUGUAUCAAGAUGGCCAUAGUACACGACCUAGCCGAGUGCAUAGUGGGGGACAUUGCACCAGCAGAUGGUGUCAGCAAAGAAGAAAAGUAUAGACGAGAAAAGGAAGCAAUGAACCACUUGACAAGCCUUGUGGAUCCUGCUGUCGGAUCAGAACUUUGUCAACUCUGGGAGGAGUAUGAGGAGGGUUCCACAGAGGAGGCCAAGUUCGUCAAAGAUUUGGACAAAUUUGAGAUGAUUCUGCAGGCUUUUGAGUACGAAACGCUAGAAAAAAGGCCGUUGGAAUUGCAAGAGUUCUACAACACAACCAAAGGCAAAUUUACACAUCCGACCGUUCAGGAAUGGGUGGGCGAAGUCUACAGGCAACGAGAUGGCGACAUGGCUGACAAAAGCUGACAUUUGUGUAAGCGUCCGUCACCAGAAAUCUCAAUCUUCUGAGGUAAAUGAGAUAAAACCAGCUAAUUCAGUGACUGAUUUUGGCGGCUUCGAGGAAACAAUGCAAAAAUCCCUGGGGCCGCCAUAAAAACCUCUCUGAGUUGUUUGAAAUACUCCAAACAUUCCGCAGCUGUUUCAAGUUUUCUUAAAAUUGGGCAAAUGGAUGUUACGCAGCAGAUUUGUUGCACUGUUUUGUUUCGUUGGCUACAGGUCUUCAUAUUGAGUUUGGGAGUAUUGGAUAGACUGUGUUAUCAUUUGCAGCUACCCAAAAAGUAAUUGACAAAAUUAUAUUGUUGAAAAGCAUACUUGGUUUAAAGAUAGAAUGGCACUAAACUUCCUGUGAAA